CAGGCGCGAAAACUUCACACUGCAGGAAACUGUGAUGAGGGAACUCCUAGUGCAUGCACUAUGUGUAUGUAGAUCCUACUCUUAACAAGUAGAGGGAAAGGGCUGGGAAAGACCGGUGCCAGCCGCCGCGGUAAUACCGGCAGCUCAAGUGGUCGUCGCUUUUAUUGGGCCUAAAACGUCCGUAGCCUGUUUGGUAAAUCUGUGGGUAAAUCAACCAGCUUAACUGGUUGAAUUCUGCAGAGACUGCCAGACUAGGGACCGGGAGAGGUGUGGGGUACUCUAGGGGUAGGGGUAAAAUCCUGUCAUCCUUAGAGGACCACCAGUUGCGAAGGCGCCACACUGGAACGGAUUCGACGGUCAGGGACGAAGCCUAGGGGCACGAACCGGAUUAGAUACCCGGGUAGUCCUAGGUGUAAACGCUGUGAACUUGGUGUCGGGGGUCCGCAAGGGGUCCCCGGUGCCGGAGUGAAGAUGUUAAGUUCACUGCCUGGGGAGUACGGUCGCAAGGCUGAAACUUAAAGGAAUUGGCGGGGGAGCACUGCAACGGGAGGAGCGUGCGGUUUAAUUGGAUUCAACGCCGGAAAACUCACCAGGGCCGACUGUUAUAUGAAGACCAGCGUAAUGAGCUUGUCGGAUUUUCAGAGAGGUGGUGCAUGGCCGUCGUCAGUUCGUACUGUAAAGCGUUCUGUUAAGUCAGAUAACGAACGAGACCC
rnacentral:rRNA from 1 species